UAACUGCCGAGAGGCAUUUGGGUAAAUUAUUAGUGUUUCUCAGCCAAAGGUAAUGUGUCAACAGCAAUUCUCAAAGAAAAUUGCAAUAGGUUGUUGUCACAUGUAGCAAUCUUUGUAUGUAAGAUAUAUAUUUUUUUUGGAGUAUAGUUCUAUAAUCCAUUGUGUGCAAGAGAAGGAUAAUAAGAUUGGAGAACCUACUAAAGAUUGUUAUUUGAAUGACAUUUUGAAUACACUAAUCCCAAUUGUGUAUUUGGCAUUGAAUUUGAGGCAAUAUAGACUUAUUAGCUUUGCAAUGCUUCCCUAUAAAGCAAUGUCAAAGAUCAUUGCCAAUAGGAUGAAAUCCAUUGUGGAGUGGAAGAGGGUAAUAAGUAUUCACAUGGAGAUCGAUUUUGAAAAGGUAUUUGAUCUAUAGGAUAAGAUGGAUGUUUGUAAAGGUUUUGGACACGCCUAUUAAGUUGAAAUUAUCAUCAUUGAACUGUGAUAUCUACAAGUUUUGUCAAAAUUGUUUAAAUGAAAUGAGUUUACUUGAAUGAACUCGUUGUAAUGAUCAGAGUUAUAUUAAUUUUGAAUUGACCUGAUUAUAAUU